UACGGGGGGGAGCAAGCGUUGUUCGGAUUUACUGGGCGUAAAGCGUGCGUAGGCGGCUGCGCAAGUCGGGUGUGAAACCCCGGGGCUCAACCCCGGAACUGCAUCCGAUACUGCGUGGCUAGAGGUAGGUAGGGGAGAUCGGAAUUCCUGGUGUAGCGGUGAAAUGCGCAGAUAUCAGGAGGAACACCGGUGGCGAAGGCGGAUCUCUGGGCCUUACCUGACGCUCAGGCACGAAAGCUAGGGGAGCGAACAGG
rnacentral:rRNA from 1 species